rnacentral:rRNA from 1 species
AACACCCUACGGGGGGCAGCAGUGGGGAAUAUUGCACAAUGGGGGAAACCCUGAUGCAGCGACGCCGCGUGAGUGAAGAAGUAAUUCGUUAUGUAAAGCUCUAUCAGCAGGGAAGAAAAUGACGGUACCUGAGUAAGAAGCCCCGGCUAACUACGUGCCAGCAGCCGCGGUAAUACGGAGGAUGCGAGCGUUAUCCGGAUUUAUUGGGUUUAAAGGGUGCGUAGGCGGAUUUUUAAGUCAGCGGUAAAAUGUCCGGGCUCAACCCGGGCCGGCCGUCGAAACUGGGGAUCUUGAGUGGGCGAGAG